rnacentral:rRNA from 1 species
CCCUUAGAUGUUCUGGGCCGCACGCGUGCUACACUGAGUGGAUCAGCGGGUCAGGUUGCGCGAAAGUGUUUCCUAAUCUUGAAAUCCGCUCGUGAUGGGGAUCGACGGUUGCAAUUUUCCGUCGUGAACGAGGAAUACCUUGUAGGCGCGUGUCAUCAUCACGCGCCGAAUACGUCCCUGCCCUUUGUACACACCGCCCGUCGCUCCUACCGAUUGAGUGAUCCGGUGAGGCUCUGGGACCUGGACGGAAAGAGCGUUUCGCUUGUUCUGUUUGGGAAACUUGGUCGAACCUUAUCAUUUAGAGGAAGGAGAAGUCGUAACA